UUUAGUUACGUGUUAAGCGUUCGGAUGCUUGCCAAAAAAAUACAUUUGAAAUGUAGAAUUAAUCUGUCUGUAUGUUGCAAUGGGAAUCAAUCAAUUCCUCCUCAUUUCAUUCUCCAUCAACAAAAUUUUGAAUAUGUAAUGUUUACUGUCUUCACUUCAGCUAGGCAAAACAAUCAUGAUCUUUAUAAUGUUUCUUUUCAGUGGAAUGCUUCUAUUUCAGACUUAUGCUUAACAAGCCAGUCAUGGGUUGAAUGUUAACUUUUUCUGACACGGCUUGGGUGAGGAAAUUUCUUUUUGAUGCUCUCAAGCUUUAAAAAAUUCCUAGAACUUUGAUUUCAUGGGUGAAAGCAUGCAUGUAUAACCAUUGCAAUGUUCUGUGUAAUGUGGCUAGUAGAGGAGUUAGGCAAGGGGAUCCACUCUCCCCUUAUCUCUUUUUCAUUGCUAUGGAGGUACUCUCUGUUUUUUUGAAGCACGGAACUCUUUAAAUAUCAUUGGAGAAGUAAAUUAAGAAUGUGACAUUACUCACUUAUGUUUUGCUGAUGAUCUACUUGAUUGUGUUAUGCAAUUCUGUGAAGGUGGUGGUUAAGGAUUGUAAUUUUGGAACUCUGGUCUUCUUCCAAAUGAAGCCAAAAGCAGUUGUUACCUUGCUAAUGGCUAAUGCUAUUCUUCAACAUCUUGGAUUUCAACUGCCUCUUGGACCACUGUUUCUCUAUCUUAUUCUUCAGGUAGGCUCCAGCCAGCUCAUUAAAUCUCUUCUCUUUGCAAUGCAAGCUUACUAGACUUCUCAUUUCAUGUUGCCUAAAGAACAUGAAACAAUCCUAGGCCUGGACCAUGUGUUUGUAAUGGGUGGAUGGACCUCAUAUCCAUAUCAUUGGGACAACCACCUGUUUGAUUAAUUGGAUUAGAAACUACUCAGCUAAUGGUAUCAAGAAACUCAUCCUUAAGCUCUGCCUUUCCAUUUUAGUUUAUGUAACAUAUAUAAAAGUUAUAUUACAAUGAAACUCCUGUGCAACUUUAAUGGAAAUCUUUUACAUUAUUAAGAGGAUAUAAUAAGGAACCCAUUAUUGAACAAAAAUUUAAAUCUAUCAUAUAUAUAUAUAAACAUUACUCAAUUACUUUGGGCUUUCUGUUGUUAAUAGAGUAUAAAGGGAUUGACAAAGAACAAUUGGCUUUUCUUCUAUUAAUUUAAAAAUCAUGAAAAGGUAUUUUUAAUUGAAAGUAAAAGGAAUAGAGGAGAAAAUUGAAUCUUGAAAUUGGAAAAUGUGGAAUAGAUUUGAAGCUAUGGAGAUGGUUAAAAUGCUACACAUAAUCAAGUUUUUCAUUUCUCUUUAUAUGUAUAAAAAUGCCUACUUUAAUUUUAAAACUACAAAGACAUAAACAAGAGAGAGAGGAAGGUUGGAAUAUAUGUACCUCAAAAUUCAUGAAAAUUGGAAUUGGUGCAGACACUUGCCAAUAGUAAAUAUUCUGUCCAGUGUUCCAUGCACAUUUCUAUGGCAAAUGGCUCCCAACACCCUGCUACUUUACCAGCCAAUUGAAUCUUACCAAAACAAUAUCCUUUGACACAACCCACUGCCAUUCUUGAUGAUACCAGAACAAAGACAGUCCUUAAUCAUGAAUGGAUAUAUUCCUCAACUACUUGUUCAUAUUAUUGGGAAGGAUUAUAUAGAAGAAGUAGCUUGGGUGAACACAUCUCAAUUCAUUAAACUCUAUCCAUAUUUUCAGUGAACAUUGAAGGCCGGGUGGGUACUGUUACAAAUGUGAGUUAUGGCAAGG
rnacentral:lncRNA from 1 species